rnacentral:rRNA from 1 species
GACGAACGCUGGCGGCGUGCUUAACACAUGCAAGUCGAACGGAAAGGCCCUGCUUGCAGGGUACUCGAGUGGCGAACGGGUGAGUAACACGUGGGUGAUCUGCCCUGCACUUCGGGAUAAGCCUGGGAAACUGGGUCUAAUACCGGAUAGGAGCCAUCUUUAGUGUGAUGGUUGGAAAGUUUUUUCGGUGUAGGAUGAGCUCGCGGCCUAUCAGCUUGUUGGUGGGGUAAUGGCCUACCAAGGCGGCGACGGGUAGCCGGCCUGGGAGGGUGGACGGCCACAUUGGGGCUGGGAUACGGCCCAGACUCCUACGGGAGGCAGCAGUGGGGAAUAUUGCACAAUGGGCGCGAGCCUGAUGCAGCGACGCCGCGUGGGGGAUGACGGCCUUCGGGUUGUAAACUCCUUUCGCUAGGGACGAAGCUUUUUGUGACGGUACCUAGAUAAGAAGCACCGGCUAACUACGUG